rnacentral:rRNA from 1 species
UACGAAGGGGGCGAGCGUUGUUCGGAAUUACUGGGCGUAAAGGGCGCGUAGGCGGCGAUCCGAGUCAGAUGUGAAAGUCCUGGGCUUAACCUGGGGACUGCAUUUGUGACUGCACGGCUGGAGUGCGGCAGAGGGGGAUGGAAUUCCGCGUGUAGCAGUGAAAUGCGUAGAUAUGCGGAGGAACACCGAUGGCGAAGGCAAUCCCCUGGGCCUGCACUGACGCUCAUGCACGAAAGCGUGGGGAGCAAACAGG